rnacentral:rRNA from 1 species
UACGGGGGGGGCAAGCGUUGUUCGGAAUUACUGGGCGUAAAGGGCUCGUAGGCGGCCAACUAAGUCGGAUGUGAAAUCCCCAGGCUUAACCUGGGAACUGCAUCCGAUACUGGAUGGCUUGAAUUCGGGAGAGGGAUGCAGAAUUCCAGGUGUAGCGGUGAAAUGCGUAGAUAUCUGGAGGAAUACCGGUGGCGAAGGCGGCAUCCUGGACCGGCAUUGACGCUGAGGAGCGAAAGCUAUGGGAGCAAACGGG